rnacentral:rRNA from 1 species
GGCCCUCGAAAUCCUGUGGCGGGAGGAUUCAGUCGAGAGGUCCGGAGACAGAGCUGGGGCAGCGACAGAAUGGCACCCGACCGGGCCACCCUGGUUCUGUUUUCCGGAUAGACCGACGCAUUUCUUUCCCGCCCGAAGGACGCCGCAACCGGUUGGCGGUUGGGCCUGAAGGACGGGAGCUGGAAGGUGGCCGGUGGUCUUUUCCCCUCGGGGUUGGCCGCCGGUUGUUAGCCGUCCCGUCGCACGGCCCUACCCCGACCGUGGUGUCGCGAGGCCCCUCAUGGGCCUCAACGCCUCCUCCGCAUGGUAGCGAGCGGACGCGGCAGGUGAGGCGCGGUUUUUCUGUGGGCGCACGGACUCGCUCCGUGGCUCGCGGUGCCGCGUCCCCGCUGGCUGCGCGUGGCUCGUAGGAGCGCUGGCUGUUGGCGGCGAGUAGAUCGGUCACCCACCUGACCCGUCUUGAAACACGGACCAAGGAGUCUAACAUGUAUGCGAGUCAUUGGGUCUCGACAAAGCCCACAGGCGCAAUGAAAGCGAAGGCCGUUCACGGCUGAGUUGGGAUCCUCGCUCCUUCGCGGGCGAGGCGCACCAACGACCCGUCCCGUCCGAUUUAUCGGUGUGGCGGAGUUCGAGCAUACACGUUGGGACCCGAAAGAUGGUGAACUAUGCCCGGGCAGGACGAGGCCAGAGGAAACUCUGGUGGAGGUCCGUAGCGGUUCUGACGUGCAAAUCGAUCGUCAGACCCGUGUAUAGA